rnacentral:misc_RNA from 1 species
GCAAACUUGGUCAUUUAGAGGAAGUAAAAGUCGUAACAAGGUCUCCGUUGGUGAACCAGCGGAGGGAUCAUUACAGAGUUGUAAAACUCCCAACCCUUUGUGAACUUACCUUUGUUGCCUCGGCUUAUAGGAGAGUAUAGGUUACCCUAUAGUUACCCUGUAAGCCGACGGACCACUAAACUCUGGUUUAUUUUAUAUCUCUGAGAAACUUUAUAAAUAAGUUAAAACUUUCAACAACGGAUCUCUUGGUUCUGGCAUCGAUGAAGAACGCAGC